GUCGUUUCGGGGACAUCCAAUAAAAUUGAAGCGAUAAAAAAAGUAGCAUAAUCCAUGUGUAAGAAUGACACACAUAAAUCGAGAAAUUGUCCAAAUCAUU